UACGGAGGGGGCUAGCGUUGUUCGGAAUUACUGGGCGUAAAGCGUACGUAGGCGGCUUUGUAAGUUAGAGGUGAAAGCCCGGGGCUCAACCCCGGAAUUGCCUUUAAGACUGCAUCGCUUGAAUCGCGGAGAGGUGAGUGGAAUUCCGAGUGUAGAGGUGAAAUUCGUAGAUAUUCGGCAGAACACCAGUGGCGAAGGCAGCUCUCUGGACGAGUAUUGACGCUGAGGUGCGAAAGCGUGGGGAGCAAACAGG
rnacentral:rRNA from 1 species